rnacentral:misc_RNA from 1 species
GAUGAAGAACGUAGCGAAAUGCGAUACGUAAUGUGAAUUGCAGAUUUCAGUGAAUCAUCGAAUCUUUGAACGCACAUUGCGCCCGCGAGUAUUCUCGCGGGCAUGCCUGUCCGAGCGUCAUUUCAACCCUCAGGGCCCGCCUGCUUCGGCAGGCGCGGCGCUGGUGUUGGGGAUCGGCCUAACCGCCGUCCCCCAAAUACAGUGGCGGUCUCGCUGCAGCCUCCCCUGCGUAGUAGCAACACUCGCAUGCGGAGCGCGGCGCGGCCACGCCGUAAAACCCCCGACUUUCUGAACGUUGACCUCGGAUCAGGUAGGAAUACCCGCUGAACUUAAGCAUAUCAAUAAGCGGAGGA